AGAGUUUGAUCCUGGCUCAGAACGAACGCUGGCGGCAGGCUUAACACAUGCAAGUCGAACGCUCGUAGCAAUACGGGAGUGGCAGACGGGUGAGUAACGCGUGGGAACAUACCCUCCGGUUCGGAAUAGCUCAGGGAAACUUGGAUUAAUACCGGAUACGGCCGAGAGGCGAAAGAUUUAUCGCCGGAGGAUUGGCCCGCGUUCGAUUAGCUAGUUGGUGAGGUAAUGGCUCACCAAGGCGAUGAUCGAUAGCUGGUCUGAGAGGAUGAUCAGCCACAUUGGGACUGAGACACGGCCCAAACUCCUACGGGAGGCAGCAGUGGGGAAUAUUGGACAAUGGGCGCAAGCCUGAUCCAGCCAUGCCGCGUGAGUGAUGACGGCCUUAGGGUUGUAAAGCUCUUUCGCUCGGGACGAUAAUGACGGUACCGAGAUAAGAAGCCCCGGCUAACUUCGUGCCAGCAGCCGCGGUAAUACGAAGGGGGCUAGCGUUGUUCGGAAUUACUGGGCGUAAAGCGCGUGUAGGCGGGUCUUUAAGUCAGGGGUGAAAUGCCAAGGCUCAACCUUGGAACUGCCUUUGAUACUGGAGACCUUGAGUCCGGGAGAGGUGAGUGGAAUUGCGAGUGUAGAGGUGAAAUUCGUAGAUAUUCGCAAGAACACCAGUGGCGAAGGCGGCUCACUGGCCCGGAACUGACGCUGAGACGCGAAAGCGUGGGGAGCAAACAGGAUUAGAUACCCUAGUAGUCC
rnacentral:rRNA from 1 species